rnacentral:rRNA from 1 species
GAUCAUUACCGAGUUUACAACUCCCAAACCCCUGUGAACAUACCAAUUGUUGCCUCGGCGGAUCAGCCCGCUCCCGGUAAAACGGGACGGCCCGCCAGAGGACCCCUAAACUCUGUUUCUAUAUGUAACUUCUGAGUAAAACCAUAAAUAAAUCAAAACUUUCAACAACGGAUCUCUUGGUUCUGGCAUCGAUGAAGAACGCAGCAAAAUGCGAUAAGUAAUGUGAAUUGCAGAAUUCAGUGAAUCAUCGAAUCUUUGAACGCACAUUGCGCCCGCCAGUAUUCUGGCGGGCAUGCCUGUUCGAGCGUCAUUUCAACCCUCAAGCCCAGCUUGGUGUUGGGACUCGCGAGUCAAAUCGCGUUCCCCAAAUUGAUUGGCGGUCACGUCGAGCUUCCAUAGCGUAGUAGUAAAACCCUCGUUACUGGUAAUCGUCGCGGCCACGCCGUUAAACCCCAACUUCUGAAUGUUGACCUCGGAUCAGGUAGGAAUACCCGCUGAACUUAAGCAUAUCAAUAAGCGGAGGAAAAGAAACCAACAGGGAUUGCCCUAGUAACGGCGAGUGAAGCGGCAACAGCUCAAAUUUGAAAUCUGGCUCUCGGGCCCGAGUUGUAAUUUGUAGAGGAUACUUUUGAUGCGGUGCCUUCCGAGUUCCCUGGAACGGGACGCCAUAGAGGGUGAGAGCCCCGUCUGGUUGGAUGCCAAAUCUCUGUAAAGUUCCUUCGACGAGUCGAGUAGUUUGGGAAUGCUGCUCUAAAUGGGAGGUAUAUGUCUUCUAAAGCUAAAUACCGGCCAGAGACCGAUAGCGCACAAGUAGAGUGAUCGAAAGAUGAAAAGCACUUUGAAAAGAGAGUUAAAAAGUACGUGAAAUUGUUGAAAGGGAAGCGUUUAUGACCAGACUUGGGCUUGGUUGAUCAUCUGGGGUUCUCCCCAGUGCACUCUUCCAGUCCAGGCCAGCAUCAGUUUUCGCCGGGGGAUAAAGACUUCGGGAAUGUGGCUCUCUUCGGGGAGUGUUAUAGCCCGUUGUGUAAUACCCUGGCGGGGACUGAGGUCGC